rnacentral:rRNA from 1 species
UUGACUAAUGUGACCUCAAAUCAGAUGGGACUACC